CACCGCGGUUAUACGACGAGGCUCAAAUUGAUAUUUUACGGCGUAAAGCGUGAUUAGAGAAAACAUAAACUAAAGCUGAACACCUCCCCAACUGUUAUACGUUUAAAGAGGCACGAAGCCCCGCAACGAAAGUAGCUUUAACCUAAAACCUUGAAUUCACGAAAAUUAAGAAA
rnacentral:rRNA from 1 species